GCUCUGAUCACGGGGAAGGAACAGUUCUCAUCCCAGUCAGGAUAGCUGUCACCAAAAGAGCGUGAAAAGGACAGAAUGCUAGCAGACCAGUGUGUGUGCUGCCUGUCCCCAGUUGGGCUCCCCCUAAAGGAAUGGGUAGUUACAGCGCAGGAAAAGUCCCCCUCAGACGGUCCACACAAACCUUUUCCAUUGGGCCUAGGAGGACUCCCUGUACCAAACGAGAAUUCCAUGUGGGAAGGAAACGAAGAAGGCCUGGCUGUGCUGUAACUAAAACCAAGGGACUCCUCGUUUCCAGUGGACUGCGGCCAGCUGCACUCGCAUGACAGGCAGGAGAUAGCCAGGACCCCAGGCCUCACCACCCCGGUCCAUUGGGCAAGGAACAGCAGACAGUCUGGCGAGCAGAGAUAGAAUCAGACAUACUCCAAUCUGUCAACCAUGACGAAUUCUGUGGGGGUGACAUCAGCAAGGAUUUGGAGAGAGUGUUAUGCAGAAGUGGAUCUAGCCAAUCCUUUAUCAUUGAAAUCCUGGUUGAGACAAGAAAAGACUUUCACAAUCUUGUCCUAGGGAUAAAGCUCCAGCCGCAAGGAGGCCAGCCCUGACUCCCCUGUCUAAAUAAGGUCCUCCCAUCCAUUGCUAACAAAGCACCCUAUGUUUUGUUUCCUUCAUAAUAUUUCCCUUUACCCAAAAUGAUCUUGUUUAUUAUUUGCUUUUGCUGGUUUACUUCCCAUCUCGCUCCCACCCACCGCCUAACAUGUCAGGAAUGCAGGAGGCAAAUAUAGGAGACGCGGGCAGUGCCUCGCUCCUGGCCCUGGUACUCACCAUUCCAGUGCGUGGUCCCUGGGUGCUCAGCUGCAGGCAUCUGUGACCUGUGCUUGAGGGUUUUCACUGGCCACAGGAGCACGCUGGGCCCAUGCCAGGCACAGGGGAAGUACGAGGGCGUUAGCACCUGCCCCUGCUCCACGGAGGACCGAUGGGAGUUGGUAUGUAUGUAUCCCAGCUCCCUCAUACUCAGCUGGGAAAACUCGGGAGCAUCUUCUAUGCUGGCUCCCAGCGUUCUCCAGCAAGAUUGCAGCUAGUUUCCCAUAACGGUGACCUGUCCAUAAAGCAGCCUUCACUGGCUUCCUUCCCUUUCCUGGCUCACUCCCCCAUCCGUCUACCAGUGCUAUCUGAGAUCACCUCUCAGAUAAAGUAUUUGCACUUACAUUCUUAUCACAGCCUCUGAGGAACCCAGCCAAGGACACCUCUGUAUGUCUCACCCCCCGUGCUUAGAACAGGGUCUGGAACCCAGUAGGUGCUCAGUAAAUAUUUGUUGAAAAAAAUGACUUAGUCUCUCUUCCUCUGACCUCCACUCACCCUUUGGGAAAUUCCAGUCUGAUUAUCGUAUAACACAGCCAUGGGCCGUUCUCAGUUUUGAAAGCAUCUGGAGCCUGUGCGAAUUUUUAUCAGGAUUGUUUGAACACAAUUAUUUCUGGCAAGCCAUCUUCUCACCCCUUCUACCUUCCAUGCUAUCUCCCCUGGAGUGGGAUAAGAGGAGAGGGCUUCCGUUUCAGGAGAAAGAACACUGGACGCAUGCCUGGCAGAGGCAUAUUCUACCAGGGCCUUGGAAAGACCUGAGUUCUCGGGUUCCUACCCUAUAGAAGCUUCUGUCGCUCCCCCAGCCCCCACGCCUCACACAGAAGCACCAGGCUGAUCAUGGUCCUUCAGAUCCAGGCCCCUGCCAAGCUGUCUUUUUAAAGUUUUAUUAAGAAUUUGUAUGCCAUAAAAUUCAACCAUCUAAAGUACAGAGUCCACUGGGUUUUUAGUAUAUUCCCAAAGUUGUACAACCAUCACCACAAUCAUUGCCCGUUAGCAGAAAGAAACUUCACACCCAUUAGCAGUCAUUCCCUAUUUCUAUGGUUUUCUCUGGCAGUGUGUAGUUUUGGCUCUUAUAUUUAAGUUGGUCCAUUUUUAUGUAACUUCUGCAUAUUGGUAUAAAUUAGAGAUCUAAAUUCAUUAUUCUACAUGUGGAUGUCUUGUUGUCCCUGCAUCAUUUCUUAAAAAGAUGAUUCUCUCUCUCACUGAAUGGUCUUGGAACCCUUGCCAAAAAUCAAUUGGCCAUAAAUGAGAGUGUAUUUCUAGACUAUCAAUUCUAUUCCAUUGCUCUGUGUAUCUCUCAUGCCCAAACCACACUGUCUUCAUUAGUGUAAGUCCUCCAAAUUUGUUGGUUUUUUUCAAGAUAGCUUUGGCUCUUUGAGGUCCCUUAAAUUUCAUCGAGUUAUGAAAUAUUACUUUGCCUCCCGUGUUUGAGGCUUUGUCCUGUGUACACAUCUCCUUCAGGGACCUUAUGAUUUCAGGGUGACUGAAUACCAGCAAUUUCCCAGCCGAUAGCACCCCAACUUCAUCUUUAUAAUGAAGGGUAGCAGAAUAUGCCCCACUGAAAUAGACCACUUUCGCGUAAGGAUUAUUUUGAGCUGAAGACAAUUGAGAAGAAGCAGAUACAAGAAAAGCUCUCUGCCCUGCCCCAAUUUGCCUACAUGCAGGACAUUACAAAGGUGUCUCCCCUCUGUACUGAGAGGAUGCGCGAUAACUAGGCCCUUAUCAGCCUGGAGACAGCACCAGAGGAAUCUACGACUAAACCUUACUAACCAGACUUUGCCCCUUUGGUUUCCACGUUUGCCUUCCCACAGUUUCCUGCCCCUAGAAGCUCAAACUCCUUUCCCUUUUUCUUCUCACUUCUCUACGACAUCAUUGUUCUUUCGAUAUGCUUCAUGGGUCCGAGUUCUAACCACCCUUUUGCGUUCCUUGUCACUAUGCACUCCCAGUGUAUGCACGGUACACAUGUUAAUAAACUUCUGUGUGUGGUUCUCUUGUGAAUCCGUCUUCUGUCAGUCUAACUUAUGGGGUCCCAGAGGAGAACCAACGAGAGUAGAGGAAAGAAGUUGUUUUCCUCCCGGACAAUACCAGUAUCUUAAACUGUGUCACCCGACAGUCACCCACUCUGGCUC